CCCAGACUCCUACGGGAGGCAGCAGUGGGGAAUAUUGCACAAUGGGGGAGACCCUGAUGCAGCGACGCCGCGUGAGUGAAGAAGCGCCUCGGCGCGUAAAGCUCUGUCAGCAGGAACGAUAAUGACGGUACCCGAAGAAAAAGCAUCGGCUAACUCCGUGCCAGCAGCCGCGGUAAUACGGAGGAUGCGAGCGUUAUCCGGAUUUAUUGGGUUUAAAGGGUGCGCAGGCGGAGGUGCAAGUCAGCGGUCAAAUUGCGGGGCUCAACCCCGUACUGCCGUUGAAACUGGCGGGCUGGAGUUGGAGAGAAGUACGCGGAAUGCGCGGUGUAGCGGUGAAAUGCUUAGAUAUCGCGCAGAACCCCGAUUGCGAAGGCAGCGUACCGGCUCCACACUGACGCUGAGGCACGAAAGCGUGGGUAUCGAACAGGAUUAGAUACCCCAGA
rnacentral:rRNA from 1 species